rnacentral:rRNA from 1 species
CGCGUAGGCGGCCUUAUAAGUCAUUUGUGAAAGCUCUGGGCUCAACCCAGGAAUUGCAAGUGAUACUGUAAGGCUUGAGUUCGGUAGAGGAGGGCGGAAUUCCAGGUGUAGCGGUGAAAUGCGUAGAUAUCUGGAGGAACACCCGUGGCGAAGGCGGCUCUCUGGUCCGAAACUGACGCUGAGGUGCGAAAGCUAGGGUAGCAAACA